rnacentral:tRNA from 1 species
GGGCUCAUGGUCUAGUGGCUAAUGGUUAAAUCCAUAAAUGACAGCACCCUUACAAGGUGUUAAUCCCCGGUUCGAGUCCGGGUGGGCCCA